rnacentral:tRNA from 1 species
GUCAGAAUGGCCGAGUGGUCUAAGGCGCCAGACUCAAGUUCUGGUCUCCUGAUGGAGGCGUGGGUUCAAAUCGCACUUCUGACA